CAGUCGCCACGGGAAUACGAAGGGGGCUAGCGUCGUUCGGAUUUACUGGGCGUAAAGCGCACGUAGGCGGACUUUUAAGUCAGGGGUGAAAUCCCGGGGCUCAACCCCGGAACUGCCUUUGAUACUGGAAGUCUUGAGUAUGGUAGAGGUGAGUGGAAUUCCGAGUGUAGAGGUGAAAUUCGUAGAUAUUCGGAGGUACACCAGUGGCGAAGGCGGCUCACUGGCUCGAUACUGACGCAGAGGUGCGAAAGCGUGGGGAGCAAACAGGAUUAGAGACCCCGGUAGUCCCUGUCUCUUAUAC
rnacentral:rRNA from 1 species